rnacentral:lncRNA from 1 species
AUGUGGCAAUAUCAUAUAUGCUUAAUUGAUAAAACUCUCCCAACUUUCUUUGCACAGGCAUCGGGAGCAAAUGCUCUUGGUGUAAGGGAUCACAUGUUAAUAAUAAUGAAGCGUAGCUGGCAUCCCAAGUCCCCGAAUGUAUCGGUCCUCAGCGCAAAGAUGGACAAGAAAGAGGACUUGACUGGGAGACAGAGAUUACAAGUAGUCAGAGAGGCAGGCAGGGACAGAAGAAGAAGCAGGCUCACCGCUGAGCAGAGAGCCCAAUGUGGGGCUCGAUCCCAGGACCCUGAGACCAUGACCUGA